rnacentral:rRNA from 1 species
CGCUGGCGGCGUGCUUAAUACAUGCAAGUCAACUUGACUUUAGAUAGCAAUAUCGAAAAGUAGGGUGGCGCACGGGUGCGUAACGCGUAGGUAAUCUGCCCUGAGGUCUGACAUAACCCGUCGAAAGGCGGGCUAACAUCAGAUGAUAUAUAAUCACGACAUCGUGGAAAUAUCAAAUCUUCGGAGCCUUGGGAUGAGCCUGCGUCUGAUUAGGUAGUUGGCGGAGUAAUAGCCCACCAAGCCUACGAUCAGUAGCUGGUCUGAGAGGAUGAUCAGCCACACUGGAACUGAGACACGGUCCAGACUCCUACGGGAGGCAGCAGUAAGGAAUAUUGCUCAAUGGGGAAACCCUGAAGCAGCAACGCCGCGUGAAGGAUGAAAUACUUUGUAUGUAAACUUCUGUAAGAUGGGAAAAAUAUUCUCCUCGGGAGAAUUGAUUGUACCAUCAGAGUAAGCCCCGGCUAACUACGUG